rnacentral:snRNA from 1 species
GUCCUCGCUUCAGCAGCACCUAUACUAAAAUUGGAACAAUACAGAGAAGGUUAGCAUGGCCCCUGCACAAGGAUGACUCGGAAAAAAAAAAAAAAGGUCUUCAAGUUU